AUUGAACGCUGGCGGCAGGCCUAACACAUGCAAGUCGAGCGGAUGAAGGGAGCUUGCUCCUGGAUUCAGCGGCGGACGGGUGAGUAAUGCCUAGGAAUCUGCCUGGUAGUGGGGGAUAACGUCCGGAAACGGGCGCUAAUACCGCAUACGUCCUGAGGGAGAAAGUGGGGGAUCUUCGGACCUCACGCUAUCAGAUGAGCCUAGGUCGGAUUAGCUAGUUGGUGGGGUAAAGGCCUACCAAGGCGACGAUCCGUAACUGGUCUGAGAGGAUGAUCAGUCACACUGGAACUGAAACACGGUCCAGACUCCUACGGGAGGCAACAGUGGGGAAUAUUGGACAAUGGGCGAAAGCCUGAUCCAGCCAUGCCGCGUGUGUGAAGAAGGUCUUCGGAUUGUAAAGCACUUUAAGUUGGGAGGAAGGGCAGUAAGUUAAUACCUUGCUGUUUUGACGUUACCAACAGAAUAAGCACCGGCUAACUUCGUG
rnacentral:rRNA from 1 species